UACGUAGGGUGCGAGCGUUGUCCGGAAUUAUUGGGCGUAAAGGGCUCGUAGGCGGUCUGUCACGUCGGGAGUGAAAACCCAGGGCUCAACCCUGGGCCUGCUUCCGAUACGGGCAGACUAGAGGUAUGCAGGGGAGAAUGGAAUUCCUGGUGUAGCGGUGAAAUGCGCAGAUAUCGGGAGGAACACCGGUGGCGAAGGCGGCGAUCUGGGUCGAUACUGACGCUGAGGUGCGAAAGCGUGGGGAGCAAACAGG
rnacentral:rRNA from 1 species